UACGGAGGGUGCAAGCGUUAUCCGGAUUUACUGGGUUUAAAGGGUGCGUAGGUUGGUAGGUAAGUCAGUGGUGAAAUCUUCAAGCUUAACUUGGAAACUGCCAUUGAUACUAUUUAUCUUGAAUACUUUGGAGGUAAGCGGAAUAUGUCAUGUAGCGGUGAAAUGCUUAGAUAUGACAUAGAACACCAAUUGCGAAGGCAGCUUACUACACAGUUAUUGACACUGAGGCACGAAAGCGUGGGGAUCAAACAGG
rnacentral:rRNA from 1 species